rnacentral:ncRNA from 1 species
CCUGCAAUCGCAGGACGGAAUGUGGCAGGCGGGAUUCGUAGAAUCCUGCCCGCUGAACCACUCA